rnacentral:rRNA from 1 species
CCUACGGGAGGCAGCAGUGAGGAAUAUUGGUCAAUGGGCGGGAGCCUGAACCAGCCAAGCCGCGUGAGGGAAGAAGGUACAGCGUAUCGUAAACCUCUUUUGUCAGGGAACACAGGCGGGGACUAGUCCCCGGAUGAGGGUACCUGAAGAAAAAGCAUCGGCUAACUCCGUGCCAGCAGCCGCGGUAAUACGGAGGAUGCGAGCGUUAUCCGGAUUUAUUGGGUGGAAAGGGUGUGCAGGUGGUUUUGCAAGAUGGAUGUGAAAGCCCCGGGCUUAACCUGGGAAAGCCAUACAUGACUGCAAGACUAGAGUGCGUCAGAGGGGGGUGGAAUUCCAAGUGUAGCAGUGAAAUGCGUAGAUAUUUGGAAGAACACCGAUGGCGAAGGCAGCCCCCUGGGACGCAACUGACGCUCAUACACGAAAGCGUGGGGAGCAAACAGGAUUAGAUACCCCUGUAGUC